UAGCAUAUCAAUAAGCGGAGGAAAAGAAACCAACAGGGAUUGCCCUAGUAACGGCGAGUGAAGCGGCAACAGCUCAAAUUUGAAAUCUGGCCCUAGUGGUCCGAAUUGUAAUUUGUAGAGGAUGCUUUGGGCGCGGUGCCUUCCGAGUUCCUUGGAACAGGACGCCUUAGAGGGUGAGAGCCCCGUACGGUUGGACACCAAGCCUAUGUAAAGCUCCUUCGACGAGUCGAGUAGUUUGGGAAUGCUGCUCUAAAUGGGAGGUAAAUUUCUUCUAAAGCUAAAUACCGGCCAGAGACCGAUAGCGCACAAGUAGAGUGAUCGAAAGAUGAAAAGUACUUUGAAAAGAGGGUUAAAUAGCACGUGAAAUUGUUGAAAGGGAAGCAUUUAUGACCAGACCUUUGCUAGGUGGAUCAUCCGGUGUUCUUCACCGGUGCACUUCGCCUAGCUUAGGCCAGCAUCGAUUUCUGUAGGGGGAUAAAGGUCUAGGGAACGUAGCUCUCUUCGGAGAGUGUUAUAGCCCUGGGCGUAAUACCCUUACGGGGAUCGAGGUUCGCGCUUCGGCAAGGAUGCUGGCAUAAUGGUCAUCAAUGACCCGUCUUGAAACACGGACCAAGGAGUCGAACAUUUAUGCGAGUGUUUGGGUGUCAAACCCUCACGCGUAAUGAAAGUGAACGGAGGUGAGAGCCCUUACGGGUGCAUCAUCGACCGAUCCUGAUGUCUUCGGAUGGAUUUGAGUAAGAGCAUAACUGUUCGGACCCGAAAGAUGGUGAACUAUGCGUGGAUAGGGUGAAGCCAGAGGAAACUCUGGUGGAGGCUCGCAGCGGUUCUGACGUGCAAAUCGAUCGUCAAAUCUGCGCAUGGGGGCGAAAGACUUAUCGAACCAUCUAGUAGCUGGUUACCGCCGAA
rnacentral:rRNA from 2 species